rnacentral:misc_RNA from 1 species
CACCGCCGGUUGCUUUACACCCACAAAGGCCCUGAUUCUGCGCAGCAUCUACGCACGCAAGUCAUUGUCAUCUCUGGCACUGAAGGACGCUGCCGACAACCCUACUGCGCCCUGUACAUUCCGCUCUACUCCUUCAUCGAAGACACGGGUUCACGAAGAUGACGGCGUCCUCCGUCGAGCUAGAGCAGCUGAAGCGACAGCUUAUCAAGAGGUACGAAGAGCAGAUCAACGAGCAGCUCGGUUGCCGCGCCGCCGCCGCCGCCGGUGAUGACCCUGCGCCAGCGCCCUCUUCCACGCCCGCAUACCUUUAUCAGCAGCUUCUCUGUCUGCGCGCCGGUCGCGCGUACGGGGUCGGGAUGCCGACGAACGCCUCGGAGAGGGUGCAGUUGCUAGCGGAGAGCCAGCCGCCGCCCGAGGCGAUGAUCAUGCGGCGACUGCGCAAAGCGCAGGAUGAGAGCAUUCGCCUGCUGGCCGCUCGCACCGCCGCGACAGCAGGAAAGUCCGCUGAGUACGAUGCAGCCGUGGCACCUUCCGUGGAUAAUGCAACCGCCGCUGGUGGAGCACGUGAAGAAGUCGCAGCCAAGCCCUUUACCGCGGAGGAGCGGAUGAAGUUGCUGUCACAGAUUGCGGCGGGUAGCGCACCACCGCCCCUUUCCGAAUCGGCUCCUUCGAAACUUGCCCCUGCCGCUGCCACCUCCGCUGAUGAUGUCGCUGCUUGCGACGAGUGCGCUGCCGAGGCUUGUGAGAAUCAGAGUGAGUCUGAGAACAAGGAAGAAGAACGAGAAGCAGUGGAAGAGAGGGAAGAGGCACCUUCCGAGCUCGCGGCAUGACAGCACCAAAGAUGGUGUGCGACUGAGAAGACUGCUGCGUUGUUUUUUGUUUGUGUUUCGCCUUGCCCCGGCGAUGGUGUGCGCCACCUCCUCUCGUCCCCUUCUGGUUGCUGCCCCUGGAAGCGUUGCUCGUGGCACGCACUCCUUUUUUUUUGUUGUUCCGCUUCUCUUCAGCAUCAUCUCCUCCUCUCUUCACGCAUUCCUGUCGCACGGCGUUGGUGUGCAUGCGGUGUAUCGGUGUUGGAGGCACGGAUGAAUCUUAGUUGGAACGCGAUGUUCUUUAGUGCUAUUACUGUGGUCUUCUUUUUUUUUUCGGAGGAAGGGUGGAGUGGUAGGAGGAGGGGGGGUUGUACCCGGCGCCGCCUGCCUGCAAAACCACCUCUCAUUCCCUCCGUCUUCCCGCCCUUGGAAAUGAGGGUGGAUGGGUGCAGGGGGGGGGCGUUCGUGGCACCCCUUUUUUUGGCACUAACAAGAUGGGAGCAACGAUAUGGUUGCUUUUGCAGCGACAGACAGGACGUGCGGUGGAUACCUAUACCGACCUGCUCAGUAACGUCCUUUCCUAGUGCCAAUGGGGGGGGUGACUGUGUACGUACGUGCCUUCGUUUCUCACUUUUUUUUUGCGAGAACUGGGUCAAGGGCCAAAGGAAAGAAG